GGUGAGGUGGCUGAGUGGUCGAAAGCGCAUGUUUGGAGUACAUGUGUACAAUUUAUUUGUACCAUGGGUUCGAAUCCCAUCCUCACCG
rnacentral:tRNA from 1 species